ensembl:lincRNA
GGGGGCCCCAGGAGGCAGGCUGGCUGGCGCAUUGGGAGCAUGCUGGUUGGUGCUUAGGAUGCCUGUUGGGCUGGCCCUUGGGGGUCAUGCUGGAUAAAUACCCAGAAAUGGAAUUACUGGGUCAUACGGUAUUUCCGUUGUGAAUGUUCGAGGAAGGUCCACACCAUUGUCCAGAGCACAUGAAGCAGUUUGCAGCCCCAGUGGCAGAGGCACGAAUGUCCCCUUUCUCCACAGCCUGGCUGACACCUGCUGUAUCCACAUCUCCUUGGUUGUCUUUCUCUCCAUAAGGUAAUUUCAGGACAGCGACUGUCCUAACGUAAGCUUUCUAUUAGCCUUUUAAGCAUGGAGUUGUCUACACAUUGUAACAUUGCCCCCAGCUUCCCUUUCUGACAGAGGCACCAGGGACACGGACAAAGAUCCCGCGUGCCCUCUGUGAAGGAGGGAAAAGGGACGAACGUCCUCUUGAAAGAGUCUGAGCAAACAGCCGGCCUGGACUGGCGCUUCCCGCCACGGCCGGAGGGGACCCCUGGCCGCCCGACCCCCAUCUGCUGACCAGCCUCAGUCCCAGCAGGGUGGAUGUCUCCAUUCGUCCUUCCUGCUGUGGCUGCACUUUCAUUUCCAAGUUCAACGUCCGUGGUAAACGGGAGACUCCAGAACAGAUUUCUUCCCGUCCUCCGUCCCCGCCCGUGUCAACGCACCAGACAGAUGUUUUCCACUCGUCCUGCCUUGUCCCUGGCCAGGCAAAGUUCUGAAUCGAGAAAGGGAAAAUAUAAUUGCUGCGAGGAGUCAAACAUCUUUACCCUUGAACGAGAAAAGUCGUUCAUGUCUUCGAUGAGAACACGGAGCGUUGGAGAGAGCACACAGGUGACUCUAGGCAUGGCUGGCAGUGCCACAGCGGGAUCCUGUACCAGGCAGCCUGAGUGCAGAAGUGCUUUGCCCCCUGAGGUUCACAAAGCAGACACCCACCUUGGGGGACAUGCUUGCCAUCGUUGGACUCCGUGGGAGCCAGUCCCUGGGCAAGAUGACCAAAUCGAGUUCUAUGGUCUGUUAAGGUGAGGCCUAAGCCCAUGGACCUGAAGGCUGAAGGAUCCAGCCGGGCACCUCUUUGGUUGCUCUUAACCGCAACUCUUUCUGGAGAAAGAAUGUGCUAGAAGGGAAGAAAAAUAGAAGGAUGCCAGCCAUUGGGGGAGGCUAUUGUUGGCCACUCAACAUCUAUUUCACUCCUAUUGAUGCAAAAGGAACAAACCUCUUUAAACACUUUUAAAAAGAAAGAAAAAGUUUUAUUCGAGCCCAAAUUAGAAUGGCUGCCCAGGAUACAUGAUCUUUACAAAGAGUGCUCCGGGAAUGGAACAUUUGGUGCAGGGUGAUGUGUCUUUUACAUAAAAAGAGUUACAAAUCAUCAUGACCAAGGACAUUCCAGAAAGUUACAGACCUUAUCUUAUGUUUUUAGUAUGUGCAAAACCGUAUGACUUUAAGCUUUUGGGAGCCAGGAAGGGUUUUGUGUGUGUGUGUGUGUGUGUGUGUUUGUUUUUCUUAUCUUUAUUUUUGGAAUCCUCCUUUUUGAUUAUUUAUUAUUUUUUUUUAAAUAAAGCAGACAUUCAAC